GGAUAUUGAUGAUGAAGUCGAUGAAGGGUCAUACCCACAAUUGGACUGGAUUAGAAGUAUGGAACAGGGCCACAAGGACGAUAUUUUAUGUGUAGCUUCGUGUCCUCCACAUUUCUUGGCCACUUCUAGUUUUGAUGGUGAAGUUCUCAUAUGGAAUCUGGUAUCGGGACAUCUCUGCAGCCGUCUUCAUGC